CGCGUAGGUGGUAGUGCAAGUCUGGGGUGGAAUCCUAUGGCUUAACCAUAGAAUUGCCUUGGAAACUGUAUUACUUGAGUCAGUGAGGGAGGGUAGAAUUCCUGGUGUAGCGGUGAAAUGCGUAGAUAUCAGGAGGAAGGCCUGUGGCGAAGGCGGCCCUCUGGCGCUGAACUGACACUGAGGCGCGAAAGCGUGGGGAGCAAACAGGAUUAGAUACCCUGGUAGUCCACGCCCUAAACGGUGGGCACUAGGUGUAGGGCUCGUAAGGGUUCUGUGCCGAAGCGAAAGCAUUAAGUGCCCCGCCUGGGGAGUACGGCCGCAAGGUUGAA
rnacentral:rRNA from 1 species